UACGGAGGAGGCAAGCGUUAUCCGGAAUUAUUGGGCCUAAAGCAUCCGUAGCCGGUCCUGCAAGUCUUCCGUUAAAUCCAGCUGCUCAACAGAUGGGCUGCGGGAGAUACUACAGGGCUAGGAGGCGGGAGAGGCAAGCGGUACUUUAUGGGUAGGGGUAAAAUCCGCUGAUCCAUAGAAGACCACCAGUGGCGAAGGCGGCUUGCCAGAACGCGCUCGACGGUGAGGGAUGAAAGCUGGGGGAGCAAACCGG
rnacentral:rRNA from 1 species